rnacentral:rRNA from 1 species
GACGAACGCUGGCGGCGUGCUUAACACAUGCAAGUCGAGCGGAAAGGCCCUGCUUUUGUGGGGUGCUCGAGUGGCGAACGGGUGAGUAACACGUGAGUAACCUGCCCUUGACUUUGGGAUAACUUCAGGAAACUGGGGCUAAUACCGGAUAGGAGCUCCUGCUGCAUGGUGGGGGUUGGAAAGUUUCGGCGGUUGGGGAUGGACUCGCGGCUUAUCAGCUUGUUGGUGGGGUAGUGGCUUACCAAGGCUUUGACGGGUAGCCGGCCUGAGAGGGUGACCGGCCACAUUGGGACUGAGAUACGGCCCAGACUCCUACGGGAGGCAGCAGUGGGGAAUAUUGCACAAUGGGCGGAAGCCUGAUGCAGCAACGCCGCGUGCGGGAUGACGGCCUUCGGGUUGUAAACCGCUUUCGCCUGUGACGAAGCGUGAGUGACGGUAAUGGGUAAAGAAGCACCGGCUAACUACGUGCCAGCAGCCGCGGUGAUACGUAGGGUGCGAGCGUUGUCCGGAUUUAUUGGGGCGUAAGGGCUCGUAGGUGGUUGAUCGCGUCGGAAGUGUAAUCUUGGGGCUUAACCCUGAGCGUGCUUUCGAUACGGGUUGACUUGAGGAAGGUAGGGGAGAAUGGAAUUCCUGGUGGAGCGGUGGAAUGCGCAGAUAUCAGGAGGAACACCAGUGGCGAAGGCGGUUCUCUGGGCCUUUCCUGACGCUGAGGAGCGAAAGCGUGGGGAGCGAACAGGCUUAGAUACCCUGGUAGUCCACGCUGUAAACGGUGGGUACUAGGUGUGGGGUCCAUUCCACGGGUUCCGUGCCGUAGCUAACGCUUUAAGUACCCCGCCUGGGGAGUACGGCCGCAAGGCUAAAACUCAAAGGAAUUGACGAGGCCCCGCACAAGCGGCGGAGCAUGCGGAUUAAUUCGAUGCAACGCGUAGAACCUUACCUGGGUUUGACAUGGAUCGGGAGUGCUCAGAGAUGGGUGUGCCUCUUUUGGGGUCGGUUCACAGGUGGUGCAUGGCUGUCGUCAGCUCGUGUCGUGAGAUGUUGGGUUAAGUCCCGCAACGAGCGCAACCCUUGUUCACUGUUGCCAGCACGUUAUGGUGGGGACUCAGUGGAGACCGCCGGGGUCAACUCGGAGGAAGGUGGGGAUGACGUCAAGUCAUCAUGCCCCUUAUGUCCAGGGCUUCACGCAUGCUACAAUGGCUGGUACAGAGAGUGGCGAGCCUGUGAGGGUGAGCGAAUCUCGGAAAGCCGGUCUCAGUUCGGAUUGGGGUCUGCAACUCGACCUCAUGAAGUCGGAGUCGCUAGUAAUCGCAGAUCAGCAACGCUGCGGUGAAUACGUUCCCGGGGCU